rnacentral:rRNA from 1 species
UACAGAGGGUGCGAGCGUUAAUCGGAAUUAUUGGGCGUAAAGGGUGCGUAGGCGGGACUAUAAGUCAGAUGUGAAAGCCCUGGGCUUAACCCAGGAAUAGCAUAUGAUACUGUAGUUCUAGAGUGAAGGAGAGGGUAGCGGAAUUCUCGGUGUAGCGGUGAAAUGCGUAGAUAUCGGGAAGAACACCAGUGGCGAAGGCGGCUACCUGGCCUUUUACUGACGCUGAGGCACGAAAGCAUGGGUAGCGAACAGG